UACAGAGGUCUCAACCGUUGUUCGGAUUCAUUGGGCGUAAAGGGUGCGUAGGCGGCGGGGUAAGUCAGGUGUGAAAUCUCGGGGCUCAACCCCGAAACUGCAUUCGAUACUGCCGUGCUUGAGGACUGGAGAGGAGACUGGAAUUUACGGUGUAGCGGUGAAAUGCGUAGAUAUCGGGAGGAACACCAGUGGCGAAGGCGACUACCUGGCCUGUUCUUGACGCUGAGGCGCGAAAGCUAGGGGAGCAAACGGG
rnacentral:rRNA from 1 species